GCGCUUGUAGCUCAGUCGGCAGAGCAUCGCACUUUUAAUGCGAGGGUCCGGAGUUCGAGCCUCCGCAGGCGCACCA
rnacentral:tRNA from 1 species